GUCACCGAGUGCGCAGGCGCGGCGGGCCUCGCCCUGCCCCGCGGCGGGAACGCGGCCGAGGGGGUGCGGGGCGCAGGCCGGCCAGGCCCGCAACGGCAGCCGAGGGUCGUGGGACGCGCCCUCCGCUUCCCUGCGCAGGCGGAGAUCGUCCGGGCCGCCGCCAGGGAGUGUGACAACUUUUCACGUUGGGUGCACAAGGCGGCCGGGGAGAAAGCGCCUUCGACAGCGCGCGCCGGGCCGGGCGGGGACGCCGUCCGCCUGGAUUGUAGGCCGUUCCCCCGGAGCUGAGCCGGGACCCGUCCUCACGGCAUCCUGGGCGGGGGGGGUAUUGCAGUUAUGUGGAUGAGAAUACAGUUGGCAACAUAAAAAUGCCAAUUUUACGUUAGAUGUCUCAAUAACUAAUAGUUGGAAAACUUUGGUCUUUGUAAGAAACGCUUUCUCUGAGAUGGCUGAGCGUUGGAGGAAAGGAAUGGUGAAUUACAGAAUUUUAAAACAAGAUGUAGCUGAAGAGAAGCAGAGCGAUUACGGGCUUUUGGAGACUUAGCUGCUGAUGGAAACGGUGCGCCAUCAAGUUUUCCUGUAGAAUGAAACAGGGUCUGCAGCUAGCUAACAUCUAGAUGGUAAGAUUGACAGGAUUAUCCAAAACAGGCAAUCACGAGAAAAUGUUAAAACCUGCCUAUAAACCUAUUAAAGUUAAUUUUACAUGUACAGAGGGGCCUGAGCAAAAAGUCAGGUGAAAGUUCUGAGAUCUAAUCCUUGGCAGAGGCAAUUUUAAAAGGGAGAUUUCCAUGAGAAGGAGUGAGUAGCCGCAUCGCUGCAUGCCGUUUAGACCUCACGUGGAGUCCCGCCAGGCACUCCAGGAGAGUGGGUACCACACAGACGUGGGGUGGAUGGUGCAGGAACCUCACUUGCCAUGUCUGGAAAGGAGAAACUUGGCCUGGGUGGCUGUGUGUACCAUUAUGUGUCGGAGGGGCUGGCUGAAGGAGACCACUGCACAGGCGGUGUAGAGGAAUUCAAUACGAUAGAGUUCUGUGCAGUAAAAGCGAACACCCUAUGCUGUGAGCUGGGUGUAAGGAGAAAGGUGGAGUGACAACCCAAAUGCGUGGGAGCAGCCCCCUGGGACUUCACAUAUAGGCGUUUGACAGAGUUCCAAACUCAAAGUGAAGGAAUCUCAAUGUUCUCACAGUUGAAAGAAAGAAACCAGCCCCAAAGGCUCAAAUUUUAAAGUCUAGGAUUGGGAGAUCCAAUAGAUGGGUAGAACUCCUAGAUUGGCCGUGAUUGGCAAGCUGGCCGAUUAUAAAAUCUACAAAAAACAGUAACUUUCAGAUUACUAACAGCAUUCAAUCAGUAAUUAAAUAAUUGUAGCAUUAUCAGUAUGUGGUGAGCAUUGUGCUAAGCACUUCAUAUGUGUUAGAAAAUACAAAAAA